UGGGAAUAUUGGACAAUGGGCGAAAGCCUGAUCCAGCCAUGCCGCGUGAGUGAUGAAGGCCCUAGGGUUGUAAAGCUCUUUUGUGCGGGAAGAUAAUGACGGUACCGCAAGAAUAAGCCCCGGCUAACUUCGUGCCAGCAGCCGCGGUAAUACGAAGGGGGCUAGCGUUGCUCGGAAUCACUGGGCGUAAAGGGUGCGUAGGCGGGUUUCUAAGUCAGAGGUGAAAGCCUGGAGCUCAACUCCAGAACUGCCUUUGAUACUGGAAGUCUUGAGUUCGGGAGAGGUGAGUGAACUGCGAGUGUAGAGGUGAAAUUCGUAGAUAUUCGCAAGAACACCAGUGGCGAAGGCGGCUCACUGGCCCGAUACUGACGCUGAGGCACGAAAGCGUGGGGAGCAAACAGGAUUAGAUACCCUGGUAGUCCACGCCGUAAAACGAUGAAUGCCAGCCGUUAGUGGGUUUACUCACUAGUGGCGCAGCUAACGCUUUAAGCAUUCCGCCUGGGGAGUACGGUCGCAAGAUUAAAACUCAAAGGAAUUGACGGGGUCAUAGCUGUUUCCUG
rnacentral:rRNA from 1 species